GACGAACGCUGCGGCGUGCCUAAUACAUGCAAGUAGAACGCACAGGAUGCACCGUAGUUUACUACACCGUAUUCUGUGAGUUGCGAACGGGUGAGUAACGCGUAGGUAACCUGCCUGGUAGCGGGGGAUAACUAUUGGAAACGAUAGCUAAUACCGCAUAAGAACAUUUACUGCAUGGUAGAUGUUUAAAAGGUGCAAAUGCAUCACUACCAGAUGGACCUGCGUUGUAUUAGCUAGUAGGUGAGGUAACGGCUCACCUAGGCGACGAUACAUAGCCGACCUGAGAGGGUGAUCGGCCACACUGGGACUGAGACACGGCCCAGACUCCUACGGGAGGCAGCAGUAGGGAAUCUUCGGCAAUGGGGGGAACCCUGACCGAGCAACGCCGCGUGAGUGAAGAAGGUUUUCGGAUCGUAAAGCUCUGUUGUUAAGAAAGAACGAGUGUGAGAAUGGAAAGUUCAUACUGUGACGGUACUUAACCAGAAAGGGACGGCUAACUAC
rnacentral:rRNA from 1 species